UGAGAUGAUACUCAAGGUCCCUUCCAAACCAAACCAAUUCCAUGGCAAAACACAAAACCUGCUGCCCAUCAGCUCCUCCUGCCCAAACCAUUCCAGGAUUCCAUGGCAAAACACAAAACCUGCUGCCCAUCAGCUCCUCCUGCCCAAAUCAUUCCAUGAUUCCACAGCAAAACACAAAAUCUGCUGCCCAUCAGCUCCUCCUGCCUUGGUGAUGCUCAGUGGCCAAAACUGAGCCUUGUCCCUUUUUCCCAAUUUUUUUUAUUCCCCAGGAGGAAAGGGUAUCUGGAGGGAGAUUCAAUGAUUUUCAGUGUUUGAAAGACCAGGAUCUUUAAGAGAAACAAACAGAAAACCAAACCGUGUCUUUUCCUUCCUUCUGUGCCAACGCCUUUAGAAAAGUUCUCUUACUUCAGGUGAAAUCCAAUUCUUUCCUCUGUAACGUUUUCUUGGAAUGCAUAAGGAAGAGCAGCUGCCUUGUCCCUGAGCCUGAAUCAGAACAGAACUUGAAGAUUUCCAGGCUCCUGAGUUACCCCUGGUCACAGCAGGCACAGGGACAGGGUAAUUUUGGGACUGUGCUGAGGAAGGUGCUGCCUCCAAUGUUCCCCAGGAGGGAGAUGCAGGAAAACAGCUGAUCCACAAAAAACGUGAUGGCAGGAAUGGCCCCAUCAGCCCAGCAGGAGGCUCAGGUGCAGUUAAUCCAGAUUUAAAGGUGGGAAUGGUUAAAGCAUCCUCUCCUGGAUGAAUCACCUCCUGGGGAGCUGGGGAAUGGCACCAUGGGCUAAAUAAAGGACCACGGGAGCAAAGUGACACAUUUCUACUGCCUGGGUUAUUUUCCCAAAUGACUGGGUUUAUGCCAAAGGAGGACGAGCGCAUUUUCUCAUUUCUCUCUCAUUUUCUUUCUUAGGGAGAAUGGGAAAGGUUCUUCUUCCACAAACUCCCUUUUAAAUUAAGUUUGCCGGGGUUUUGUUUUCUGUAGGAUUUCUGCAUCAUGUAGAAAUUGCGAGGGGGAGGAGGCUGGGAAAUGCACAAACAUCUGUAGUGACCCCAUAACCCUCCCUGUGGACACUCACAAGCCCAGGUCCUGUCCCAUCCCAAAAGGAUCCCAUUCAAGCCAGAGCUGGACCAUCCCUCACCACAGAACCAACCACUGCUGACAAAUUCCCAUUUUUCUGGAGAGCACACAUGGAUUGAAAGACCCCUGAUCUGCCCCCCACCCCCAAAAAAAAACCCAACCCACAAAUGAAAAGCCACAUCUACCCACUAACAGAGUCAAAAUCCUUUCAAAUGGUGAAGGCAACACACGCACAAAAAGAGGCUGCAGAGGUCAGAUUGAAGGUUUUGUUCUUUUUUUCCUUUUUUAUUACAAAAAAAAAAAAAAAAACCAACCCCAAAAAAAACCCCCUAUUCGGAAGAAGUCCAAAUGCAACGGAAUAUAACUGGCACCAUCUAAGAUACCCAAGUGUAAAAUCCCAGAAUCUCUGAACCUCCCAGCAGCAGCUGGGAGGGACAGGGCUGGCUGGGAGGGACAGGUGGCCUCUCCCUUCCCUUCUCCUAGCCCCCAUCAUCCUGGCUGGGUGGCACGCAGCCCGAGAGAGCCAGGACACAACAGUGGCAUCAACGGUCUCUGUAAAACCAUUCAGUCGGAGAAACUAAGAUUAUUAUGAAAAAAAAAAUCUAAAACUUCUCUUCUUUUUUUUCUUUUUUUUUUUUUUGUUUAACCUUUAUCCAAAGCCCUGCUUUAGUGACGUGCUAGCCCUGCUGGACAGGUGACACAGCCACAGCUCUGUCCAGAACGCUGUUGACCAGUCAACUCUUGGUUCAGGACACCUUCCUCCCACUCCGAGUGUGCCACGGCCACCUGAAUUACAGUAACAAAUGCUUCUGCAGGCUUCCUGCUCUGGGCACCCUCUCCUGCAAGCUCCACUCCACGCUGGAACAAAUCUCAUCCCAGUCUCCCUCCGAGCUCACCCUCAGUCCCACCUGCAUCCGACUGCAUCCGCAAGAGCUCUGCCCACUCCGGCUGGAUGAGGCGUUGGAACGUCAUCUCUUCAAGAAAAAAACACUUUCAUAUAUAAUUUUUUUUCUGUUUUUAUAUUUAAAUAGAAAAAUACUACUUCACUCUGUGUUAUGAGCCAGAGAUGGGUUGACUUCCAGUGACAGAACCAAGAGUUCUCCUCAAUGCCAGAAGAUUCCCAGAAACCUCAGAGUGGCCGGAGGGCGACGAUGUCCCCGUCACGUCCCCAUACAGGCAGGAGCACACGCACAGCUCCCGUCACCACAGCUCCCAUCUUCCCUUCUCCACAGAGAGGCACCAACCUCAGACAGCCAUCAGUCUGCAGAGAGCCAGCAGCAGGGCUGGCCCCCCAAAUCUGGCUCUGUUUCGAGCUUUCUCCUCUCCUACGGGUUUUCUGCAUGUGCAGUCUGUCCCUGGAAGCCACCGGAUCCCAUCGGAUGUACACA